UCUAGGGCUACACACGUCCUACAAUGGGGUCGACAGUGGGAUGCAAAGCCGCGAGGUGGAGCCAAUCCCCAAACGGCCUCUCAGUUCGGAUAGUAGUCUGCAACUCGACUACUUGAAGUCGGAAUCGCUAGUAAUGGCGGAUCAGCAUGCCGCCGUGAAUACGUUCCCGGGUCUU
rnacentral:rRNA from 1 species